rnacentral:tRNA from 1 species
GGGGGUAGAGCUCAGUGGUAGAGUGCCUGCUUAGCAUGCAUGAGGUCCCGGGUUCAAUCCCGGGUACCUCCA